AGUGAACGCUGGCGGCAUGCCUAAUACAUGCAAGUCGAACGGAGAUUAAAUAGCUUGCUAUUUAAUCUUAGUGGCGCACGGGUGAGUAAUAUAUAGUUAAUCUGCCCCAUAGUGGAGGACAACAGUUAGAAAUGACUGCUAAUACUCCAUACUCCUUCUUAUCAUAAGUUAAGUCGGGAAAGUUUUUCGCUAUGGGAUGAGACUAUAUCGUAUCAGCUAGUUGGUGAGGUAAUGGCUCACCAAGGCUAUGACGCGUAACUGGUCUGAGAGGAUGAUCAGUCACAUUGGAACUGAGACACGGUCCAAACUCCUACGGGAGGCAGCAGUAGGGAAUAUUGCGCAAUGGGGGAAACCCUGACGCAGCAACGCCGCGUGGAGGAUGACACUUUUCGGAGCGUAAACUCCUUUUGUUAGGGAAGAAUAAUGACGGUACCUAACGAAUAAGCACCGGCUAACUCCGUGCCAGCAGCCGCGGUAAUACGGAGGGUGCAAGCGUUACUCGGAAUCACUGGGCGUAAAGGACGCGUAGGCGGAUUAUCAAGUCUCUUGUGAAAUCUAGUGGCUUAACCACUAAACUGCUUGGGAAACUGAUAAUCUAGAGUAAGGGAGAGGCAGAUGGAAUUCUUGGUGUAGGGGUAAAAUCCGUAGAGAUCAAGAAGAAUACUUAUUGCGAAGGCGAUCUGCUAGAACUUAACUGACGCUAAUGCGUGAAAGCGUGGGGAGCAAACAGGAUUAUAUACCCUGGUAGUCCAAGGGCGAAUUCCACAGUGGAUAUCAAGCUUAUCGAUAUCGUCGACCUCGAGGGGGGGCCCGGUACCCAACCUUUUGUUCCCUUUAGUGAGGGGUAAUUAAA
rnacentral:rRNA from 1 species